rnacentral:rRNA from 1 species
AACGAACGCUGGCGGCAUGCCUAACACAUGCAAGUCGAACGAAACCUUCGGGCUUAGGGGCGCACGGGUGCGUGACGCGGGGGAACCUGCCCGUGGGUUCGCUAUAACUCCCCGAAAGGGGUGCUAAUACCGGAUAAUGUCUUCCGACCAAAGAUUUUUCGCGUUUGGGUGGGCGCUGGUUGGAUUGGCUGGUUGGUAGUGUAAAAGCCUACCAAGGCGUCGUUGCAUAGCUGGUAUGAGAGGAUGAUCUGCCACGCUGGGCCUCAGACACGGCCCAGACUCCUACGGAAGGGAGCAGAGGGGAAUAUAGGACGAGGGGGGCAAGCCUGAUCCAGCAAGGCCGGGUAAGAGAUGAAGGCCGUAGGGAUGUACAGCUCCUUUACACGGGGCGAUAAUGACGGUACCGGGAGAAUAAGCACCGGCUAACUACGUG